rnacentral:rRNA from 1 species
AGUGGCGGACGGGUGAGUAACGCGUGGGUAACCUGCCUCACACUGGGGGACAACAGUUAGAAAUGACUGCUAAUACCGCAUAAGCGCACGGGACCGCAUGGUCCAGUGUGAAAAACUCCGGUGGUGUGAGAUGGACCUGCGUUUGAUUAGCUAGUUGGUGGGGUAACGGCCUACCAAGGCGACGAUCAAUAGCCGACCUGAGAGGGUGACCGGCCACAUUGGGACUGAGACACGGCCCAAACUCCUACGGGAGGCAGCAUG